UUGCGAUGAAGCAGGGAUUGGGCCAAGAUACAAUGUCUGCCGAGCUGUAAAGGGUUAGUACGUACCGCAUCUUGGUCGUAGGCAGUGUUACCGUGAGGCGGUGCUGACCGAAAGAAACGUACUUCA
rnacentral:ncRNA from 1 species